GAUCAUGGUGGGUCUGAACGCUGGCGGGAUGCUUUACAUGCAAGUCGAACGGCGGCACGGACUUCGGUCUGGUGGCGAGUGGCGAACGGGUGAGUGUGUAUCGGAACGUGCCCUAACGUGGCGGGGAUAACCCGGCAGGCGACAUGCUAUUACCGCGCCACGCCCUUCCAGGAAAGCGGGGGACCUUCGGGCCUCAUAUUAAACGGCCGAUAUCGGAUUGAGCUAGUUGGUGGGAUAACGGCUCACCAAGGCGACGAUCCGUAGCUGGUUUGAGAGGACGACCAGCCACACUGGGACUGAGACACGGCCCAGAUACGGGAGAGGCAGCGGUGGGGAAUUUUGGACAAUGGAAACCGCAGUCCAGCCACCCGCGUGGCGAUGAAGGCCUUCGGGUUGUAAAGCACUUUUGGCGGAAAGAAACGGCGCAGGAUAAUACCGUGCAGCUGACAGCUACCUGCAGAAUAAGCACCGGCUAACUACGUGCCAGCAGCCGCGGUGUACGUAGGGUGCAAGCGUUAAUCGGAAUUACUGGGUAGUAAAGCGUGCGCAGGCGGUUCGGAAAAGAUGUGAAAUCCAGAGCUUAACUUUGGAACUGCAUUUACAACUACCGAGCUGAAGUGUGUCAGAGGGAGGCGGAAUUCCGCGUAGCAGUGAAAUGCGUAGAUAUGCGGAGGAACACCGAUGGCGAGAGCGGCGAUAUCCUGGGAUAACACUGACGCUCAUGCACACGAAAGCGUGGGGAGCAAACAGGAUUGAAUACCCUGGUAGUCCACGCCCUAAACGAUGUCAACUAGCUGUUGCGGGCCUUCAGACAGCGGUAGCGCAAUAACGCGUGAGAUUGACCGCCUGGGAAGUACGGUCGCAAGAUUAAAACUCAAAGGAAUUGACGGGGACCCACGUUUCAAGCGUUGAUGGAUGAUGUGGAUUAAUUCGAUGCAACGCGAAAAACCUUACCUACCCUUGACAUGUCUGGAAUCCCGAAGAGAUUUGGGAGUGCUCGCAAAGAGGAACCGGAACACAGGUGCUGCAUGGCUGUCGUCAGCUCGUGUCGUGAGAUGUUGGGUUAAGUCCCGCAACGAGCGCAACCCUUGUCAUUAGUUGCUACGAAAGGGCACUCUAAUGAGACUGCCAUUGACAAACCGGAGGAAGGUGGGGAUGACGUCAAGUCCUCCUUGGCCCUUAUGGUGGGAGCCGCGUCAUGGGCUGGUCGGGACAGAGGGUCGCCAACCCGCGAAGGGGAGCCAAUCCCAGAAACCCGAUCGUAGUCCGGAUCGCAGUCUGCAACUCGACUGCGUGAAGUCAGAUCUGGUAAUCGCCGGAUCAGCAUGUCGCGGUGAAUACGUUCUGCGGGUCUUGUACACCGCCCGUCACACCAUGGGAGUGGGUUUUACCAAGUAGUUAGCCUAACCGUAAGGAGGGCGAUUACCACGGUAAGUUCGCGGUGGGUGGGAAAGUCGUAACAAAGGUAG
rnacentral:rRNA from 1 species